rnacentral:rRNA from 1 species
CCGUGGAUUAGUGGCGAACGGGUGAGUAACACGUGAGUAACCUACCUUCCACUCUGGGAUAAGCGCUGGAAACGGCGUCUAAUACUGGAUAUGACAUUGCCUCGCAUGGGGUGGUGUGGAAAGAUUUUUGGUGGUAGAUGGACUCGCGGCCUAUCAACUUGUUGGUGGGGUAAUGGCCUACCAAGGCGACGACGGGUAGCCGGCCUGAGAGGGUGACCGGCCACACUGGGACUGAGACACGGCCCAG